CAGCAGCCGCGGUAAUACGGAGGGUGCAAGCGUUAAUCGGAAUUACUGGGCGUAAAGCGCGCGUAGGUGGCUAAGUCAGCCAGGUGUGAAAGCCCCGGGCUCAACCUGGGAACGGCAUCUGGAACUGCUUGGCUAGAGUGCAGGAGAGGAAGGUAGAAUUCCCGGUGUAGCGGUGAAAUGCGUAGAGAUCGGGAGGAAUACCAGUGGCGAAGGCGGCCUUCUGGACUGACACUGACACUGAGGUGCGAAAGCGUGGGUAGCAAACAGGAUUAGAUACCCUGGUAGUCCACGCCGUAAACGAUGUCAACUAGCCGUUGGGUCCCUUGAGGACUUAGUGGCGCAGCUAACGCAAUAAGUUGACCGCCUGGGGAGUACGGCCGCAAGGUUAAAACUCAAAGGAAUUGACGG
rnacentral:rRNA from 1 species